GUGGGGAAUAUUGGACAAUGGGCGGAAGCCUGAUCCAGCAAUACCGCGUGUGUGAAGAAGGCCUUCGGGUUGUAAAGCACUUUCAGUGGGGAGGAAAGAAUUAGGGCUAAUACCCCUGAUAGAAGACGUUACCCACAGAAGAAGCACCGGCUAACUCUGUGCCAGCAGCCGCGGUAAUACAGAGGGUGCAAGCGUUAAUCGGAAUUACUGGGCGUAAAGCGCUCGUAGGCGGAUGUUUAAGUCGAUCGUGAAAGCCCUGGGCUUAACCUAGGAACUGCGGUCGAUACUGGGCAUCUAGAGUAUGGUAGAGGAUAGUGGAAUUCCCGGUGUAGCAGUGAAAUGCGUAGAUAUCGGGAGGAACACCAGUGGCGAAGGCGACUAUCUGGAUCAAUACUGACGCUGAGGAGCGAAAGCGUGGGGAGCAAACAGGAUUAGAUACCCGAGUAGUCC
rnacentral:rRNA from 1 species